rnacentral:rRNA from 1 species
UGGGGUAACGGCUCACNUAGGCGACGAUCCCUAGCUGGUCUGAGAGGAUGACCAGCCACACUGGAANUGAGACACGGUCCAGACUCCUACGGGAGGCAGCAGUGGGGAAUAUUGCACAAUGGGCGCAAGCCUGAUGCAGCCAUGCCGCGUGUGUGAAGAAGGCCUUCGGGUUGUAAAGCACUUUCAGCGGGGAGGAAGGCGGUAAGGUUAAUAACCUUGCCGAUUGACGUUACCCGCAGAAGAAGCACCGGCUAACUCCGUGCCAGCAGCCGCGGUAAUACGGAGGGUGCAAGCGUUAAUCGGAAUUACUGGGCGUAAAGCGCACGCAGGCGGUCUGUCAAGUCGGAUGUGAAAUCCCCGGGCUUAACCUGGGAACUGCAUUCGAAACUGGCAGGCUAGAGUCUUGUAGAGGGGGGUAGAAUUCCAGGUGUAGCGGUGAAAUGCGUAGAGAUCUGGAGGAAUACCGGUGGCGAAGGCGGCCCCCUGGACAAAGACUGACGCUCAGGUGCGAAAGCGUGGGGAGCAAACAGGAUUAGAUACCCUGGUAGUCCACGCCGUAAACGAUGUCGAUUUGGAGGUUGUGCCCUUGAGGCGUGGCUUCCGGAGCUAACGCGUUAAAUCGACCGCCUGGGGAGUACGGCCGCAAGGUUAAAACUCAAAUGAAUUGACGGGGGCCCGCACAAGCGGUGGAGCAUGUGGUUUAAUUCGAUGCAACGCGAAGAACCUUACCUGGUCUUGACAUCCACAGAACUUAGCAGAGAUGCUUUGGUGCCUUCGGGAACUGUGAGACAGGUGCUGCAUGGCUGUCGUCAGCUCGUGUUGUGAAAUGUUGGGUUAAGUCCCGCAACGAGCGCAACCCUUAUCCUUUGUUGCCAGCGGUUCGGCCGGGAACUCAAAGGAGACUGCCAGUGAUAAACUGGAGGAAGGUGGGGAUGACGUCNAGUCAUCAUGGCCCUUACGACCAGGGCUACACACGUGCUACAAUGGCAUAUACAAAGAGAAGCGACCUCGCGAGAGCAAGCGGACCUCAUAAAGUAUGUCGUAGUCCGGAUUG